rnacentral:rRNA from 1 species
UACAGAGGUCUCAAGCGUUGUUCGGAUUCAUUGGGCGUAAAGGGUGCGUAGGCGGCGCGGUAAGUCGGAUGUGAAAUCUCGGAGCUUAACUCCGAAACUGCAUUCGAUACUGCCGUGCUUUGAGGACUGGAGAGGAGACUGGAAUUUACGGUGUAGCGGUGAAAAUGCGUAGAUAUCGUAAGGAAGACCAGUGGCGAAGGCGGGUCUCUGGACAGUUCCUGACGCUGAGGCACGAAGGCCAGGGGGAGCAAAACGGG